rnacentral:rRNA from 1 species
AUACAGAGGGCUCAAGCGUUAAUCGGAAUUACUGGGCUUAAAGGGUGCGUAGGCGGGUCUGGAAGUGCUUUGUGAAAUCCCACGGCUCAACCGUGGAACUGCUUGGUAGACUGCAGAUCUUGAGGUUGGUAGGGGCUGCCGGAACUCUAGGUGUAGCGGUGAAAUGCGUAGAUAUCUAGAGGAACACCAAAGGUGAAGACAGGCAGCUGGGCCAAUCCUGACGCUGAGGCACGAAAGCGUGGGUAGCGAACGGGAUCAGAAACCCCGGUAGUCC